CCUACGGGAGGCAGCAGUGAGGAAUAUUGGUCAAUGGUCGGGAGACUGAACCAGCCAAGCCGCGUGAGGGAUGAAGGUACAGAGUAUCGUAAACCUCUUUUGUCAGGGAACAAAGGCGGGGACGUGUCCCCGGAUGAGUGUACCUGAAGAAAAAGCAUCGGCUAACUCAGUGCCAGCAGCCGCGGUAAUACGGAGGAUGCGAGCGUUAUCCGGAGUGAUUGGGUUAAAAGGGUGCGCAGGCGGUCUGUUAAGUCAACGGUCAAAGCCCGGGGCUCAACCCCGGCCCGCCGUUGAAACUGGCAGUCUCGAGUGGGAGAGAAGUAUGCGGAAUGCGCGGUGUAGCGGUGAAAUGCAUAGAUAUCGCGCAGAACUCCGAUUGCGAAGGCAGCAUGCCGGCUCCACACUGACGCUGAGGCACGAAAGCGUGGGUAUCGAACAGGAUUAGAUACCCUAGUAGUC
rnacentral:rRNA from 1 species